GUGCUCACUUCGGCAGUAUAUAUACUAAAAUUGGAAUGAUACCAAGAAGAAUGACCCCUGCACAAGGAUGACAUGCAAAUUCGUGAAGUGUUCCAUAUUUUA